CUAACAGCUAACUGGCGAUGCUAACGGCUAACUUGCAAUGCUAACGGCUAACUGGCGUUGCUAACGGCUAACUAGCGAGGCUAGCUGGUUUUUUUUUUCGAGCUAAAUUAAUGGCUGCUGUUUGAUAACAGCUGGACUGCUCUGUGAACGAUUAAGACGUUCUCUGGUUUUAUAUAAUAUGUGGAUUAUUGCUUUAAUUUACUCCAGUCUUUAGUUAUUGACCUCAGAACACGGAAUGCAGCUAGCGGCUUAAUGCUAGGUAACAGCAGAACUCAGCAGGAUUGGAGCUUGUUAGCUUGGAUGCUAACUAUUUCCGAGCUGAAUUAAUCACUGGUGUUUGAUAUCAGUAGGGCGUUACUGUGCUGGUUAGAUAUGAGAUCAACUAUAUCUACAAUUACAGCAAACAAAGACCAAAGUAUGUGCAUUAGGCUACCAUGCACCCAGGGAAGAGUACAGCUGAUAUGGAUGACUCACUCUCCCUCUGUUGCCACACUCCUCUAUUUUUGGAGUUUAUCUCCAGGCUUUUAAACAAACAGCAAAAAAGGAGCGAGGCGCAGAGCAAGGCAUGGCUCUCUACCUUUCUAUCUCCUCCUCAGGCACGUCACAUGGUUGUAUGACUGGCAGUUAGCCCGAGGGCAACAGGUCUGAGGCGAGUGAAAGAGAGAGAGAGAGAGAGAGAGAGAGGGCUAAUUUCACAGACUCAGUUAGCCACUGACCUUCACACGUCUUUGGCUUUCCUUUCAGGGAGCAGGGGUGCUGCCCGCCGCUGUGGCAUACUGCUGGACUAUAAGUAGAAGUUAGAUCGUAUUGUUAACCAAGCUUAGCAGAUAAAGCUCCCUCCCCCCCUCGCAUUAUCUUUCUUAGCCAAUGUUUAUUGAGUAGAACGUGAUACGGCCUGUGUGCAUGUGCCUGCAGAAAAUAGAGCAGCCCGAGCUAAUGUCAGUGGAGGCAGAGGGGGGAGUGCCGCAUGCCAAAGCCUCUUUAACAUUGAGGAUCAAGGUAAUGAGGUUUCAGCUAUACAGCUCUACUCCAGCACACUGACAGUAGAGUAGAAAACACCCUGAUGAUCCUGUAGGUACUACCUGUAUGUGUACAUAUAAACAGUGACAGGCCAAAAGUCAUGUGUGAG
rnacentral:lncRNA from 1 species